rnacentral:rRNA from 1 species
UACGUAGGGUGCGAGCGUUGUCCGGAAUUAUUGGGCGUAAAGGGCUCGUAGGCGGUCUGUCGCGUCGGGAGUGAAAACUCAGGGCUUAACCCUGAGCCUGCUUCCGAUACGGGCAGACUAGAGGUAUGCAGGGGAGAACGGAAUUCCUGGUGUAGCGGUGAAAUGCGCAGAUAUCAGGAGGAACACCGGUGGCGAAGGCGGUUCUCUGGGCAUGUCCUGACGCUGAGGAGCGAAAGCGUGGGGAGCGAACAGG